rnacentral:lncRNA from 13 species
AUGAGCCAGGAGAAUAAAAAUGUGUGCUUUCACAAUUUUUUAAGAACUCUCUCUCUUUUUUUUUUUUUUGAGAUGGAGUCUUGCUUUGUCGCCCAAGCUCUGGAGUGCAGUGGUGCGAUCUUGGCUCUCUGCAACAUCCACCUGUUGAGUUCAGUGUGUAGGCUGAGGAGGACUGAGAAGAGAAAACACUGGUGUUACUGUUUCAGGUGUGGCAGAGGCCGAAGACAACUCAAAUAGACUGAGCUCCAUUUAAACCAUGAUAGCGUCUACUUUCUGUUCAAUUUCUCUUCAAAACUUACGUUUCAUUUGAAAUUGCCUGUGUGCAUCAUUAAAGAAACACAUUUAUAUUUAUUCCUUAAGAACAACUUGCAGAAGACAAAGAGCUACCUUGGAUCUGGGAUAUUUCCACAUUCAAGAAGAAAUGAUUCUGUUGCAACGACUUCUAUAAACUGUUCAGACUACUGAAGCUUAGAAAACAUGUUAAAAUGGAAAAGUGCUUAUAAGUAAAAUGGAGAAUCAUAAUUUCAACUGCCUUCACCCUCUAGUAAGCCAUAAGAGACUUGUUUGCCAAAUGCAUCUGUGCGAAGAGAAUCUCUGUCAUAAUGAAUUUUGCUCGCAUAUCUUAAGCACGUGUGAAGCAGUGAUCCUAAGGUGCUCUUCUGAGAAAUAUAGAAAGCUGUAUUAGUAUCACCAUGAAAUUGGUAAGAAUCAAUGGUUCCAAUAUUUGCGGAAAAGACAAUUUCAUUAUCAGAAAUACUUAGACACCAACCUCUUCUAUGAAUGCUGUAACAAAUUUUAUACAUAUUUUUGUAACCAACAUUUAAACACAAGCUCACGUUAAAUUUUUUUUUUUUUUUGAGAUGGAGUCUCACUCUGUCACUGAGGCUGGAGUGCAGUGGCGUGAUCUUGGCUAACUGCAAUCUUGGCCUCCUGGGUUCAGGCAACUCUUCUGCCUCAGCCUGGAGAGUAGCUGGGACUACAGGUAUGUGCCACCAUGCCCAGCUAAUUGUUUCGUGUUUUUAGUAGAGAUGGGGUUUCACCAUCUUGGCCAGGCUGGUCUUGAACUCCUGACCUUGUGAUCCACCCACCUUGGCCUCCCAAAGUGCUGGGAUUACAGGCAUGAGCCACUGCAUCCAGCCGACCCCUCUUUUUGAAACAAUAAUAUUAAAAUCGGGAAACACUACACAUUGUAAUGAAAGCAAAAAACGUUCUGUUUCAUUGUCACUAAAUAUGCUUG